UACGUAGGGGGCAAGCGUUGUCCGGAUUUAUUGGGCGUAAAGAGCGUGUAGGCGGCUAGAUAGGUCCGUUGUGAAAACUCGAGGCUCAACCUCGAGACGUCGAUGGAAACCAUCUGGCUAGAGUCCGGAAGAGGAGAGUGGAAUUCCUGGUGUAGCGGUGAAAUGCGCAGAUAUCAGGAAGAACACCGAUGGCGAAGGCAGGUCUCUGGGCAUUAACUGACGCUGAGGAGCAAAGACAUGGG
rnacentral:rRNA from 1 species